AGGAACGUUGAAGACGACGACGUUGAUAGGCCGGGCGUGUAAGCGCAGCGAUGCGUUGAGCUAACCGGUACUAAUGAACCGUGAGGCUUAACCUU
rnacentral:rRNA from 1 species